UACGUAGGGUGCGAGCGUUGUCCGGAAUUAUUGGGCGUAAAGGGCUCGUAGGCGGUUUGUCGCGUCGGGAGUGAAAACCAGGUGCUUAACACCUGGCUUGCUUUCGAUACGGGCAGACUAGAGGUAUUCAGGGGAGAACGGAAUUCCUGGUGUAGCGGUGGAAUGCGUAGAGAUCCGGAGGAAGACCGGUGGCGAAGGCGGCCUGCUGGGCAGUUACUGACACUGAGGCGCGACAGCGUGGGGAGCAAACAGG
rnacentral:rRNA from 1 species